CCUACGGGUGGCAGCAGUGAGGAAUAUUUGUCAAUGGGCGCGAGCCUGAACCAGCCAAGUAGCGUGAAGGAUGACUGCCCUACGGGUUGUAAACUUCUUUUAUGAAGGAAUAAAGUGAAGCACGUGUGCCUUUUGGUGUGUACUUUAUGAAUAAUGAUCGGCUAACUCCGUGCCAGCAGCCGCGGUAAUACGGAGGAGCCGAGCGUUAUCCGGAUUUAUUGGGUUUAAAGGGAGCGUAGAUGGGUUGUUAAGUCAGUUGUGAAAGUUUGCGGCUCAACCGUAAAAUUGCAAUUGAUACUGGCAGCCUUGAGUACAGUAGAGGUAGGCGGAAUUCGUGGUGUAGCGGUGAAAUGCUUAGAUAUCACGAAGAACUCCGAUUGCGAAGGCAGCUUACUAAACUGCCACUGACAUUGAUGCUCGAAAGUGUGGGUAUCAAACAGGAUUAGAUACCCGAGUAGUC
rnacentral:rRNA from 1 species